UGGCAAUGAUGAGAAUAAUCACGAUGGUCUUCAUAUGUAAAGAGCAGUGAUGAACGUUAUCCAGAGCUGAGCCAGAACU